UACGAAGGGGGGCUAGCGUUGUUCGGAAUUACUGGGCGUAAAGCGCACGCAGGCGGUCUAUCAAGUCUGACGUGAAAUCUCUCGGCUUAACCGGGAGCGGUCGUUGGAAACUGAUGGACUUGAGGCGAUGAGAGGGGUGUGGAAUUCCCGGUGUAGUGGUGGAAUGCGUAGAUAUCGGGAGGAACAUCAGUGGCGAAAGCGGCACCCUGGCAUUAGCCUGACGCUCAUGUGCGAAAGCGUGGGGAGCGAACGGGAUUGAGAAACCCGAGGUAGUACCCA
rnacentral:rRNA from 1 species